rnacentral:rRNA from 1 species
UACGUAGGGGGCAAGCGUUGUCCGGAAUCAUUGGGCGUAAAGAGCGUGUAGGCGGUUCGUUGUGUCGGUGGUGAAAUCCCCGGGCUUAACCUGGGAAUGGCGAUGGAUACUGGCUCGCUAGAGUGCGGAAGAGGCGAGUGGAAUUCCCGGUGUAGCGGUGAAAUGCGCAGAUAUCGGGAGGAACACCAAUUGCGAAGGCAGCUCGCUGGGACGUCACUGACGCUGAGACGCGAAAG